AUCGAACAGUUUUUAGUUAUCAUCUCUAGAAUCCAGAUAGACGGAGAAGACAAGCUCGCCGUGGGAAGAUAUCUCUGAGAGAGGCGGAUUUCUUCUUCGCCUCCAUGAAUCUCCUCAAAACGAUUCAUUACCAGUCCACCACUACUCAAUUUUACCGUUUUGCCCCUACACAGUCCUCUGCUUCUUCUUCUUCUUCUCUGUUGUCACUCUCUCUACAAAGACCCAGAAUCUCUCUCGUUUCUACCUCCAGCCGAAGCUGCUUCGCUCUCUCGAGUGUCUCCAGCUCCAGAGCUUCGUUCUCAGGUAACAAAGAGGAUGGGAGUAAAGAAGAAGCGGCGGAGGGAGAUGAAGUCGUUUACCAGAAAACGCUGCGAUUGGUGGAGUGCGCCAUGUUCGCUGCUGUCACCGGCCUCGUUUACUUUCUCAGCAAUUCUCUCGCCAUUGAGAACUACUUCGGGUGUUUCUUCUCGCUGCCGAUUGUGAUAUCUUCGAUACGAUGGAAUAUUGCAGGUGGCCGGAAGACAAUGGUUGCUACUGUCAUGCUGUUGUUCAUAUUAUCAGGUCCAGUCAAAGCAUUAACUUAUUUUCUUACUCAUGGUCUUGUGGGGCUUGCGAUGGGAUCAUUGUGGAGGAUGGGCGCAAGCUGGCGUCUCUCGAUUUUCUUGUGCACAAUGGUGAAAUGUUCGAGCAUUGGGUCUCAUAGGCUACGUUCUGACAUCAUCCUUCUUAAUAAGAGAAAAUAUUCUCGCUGUGAUCACAAUUAACAUCCACGCUUCUCUCUCUUAUGUUUUCACCGCCAUGGGCCUGAACAUUAUGCCUUCAAUGAGCCUCAUUUAUAUGAUAUUCGGGACAGUGCUAUUGCUAAACAGUGGAUUCUUUGUGUUGUUGCUGCAUCUCCUGUACUCGGUCUUCCUCACAAGACUUGGAAUGAAAUCUUCAUUGAGAUUACCAGCUUGGUUAGAGAAAGCUAUUUGAUGGGAAUCGGAUCUCUGUUCAGCUCUUCAGACGGGCAGUGGUAAUCAGAAUCUAUUACCUAUAUUUUUGCAGCUCCGUUGGAGAAUCCAAACAUUGGUAUCUAUAUGCAUAUAUAAUGGUUAAAAUAGGUACAUGGACUCAACUCAUUACCUUGUACGAUGAAACGAAUAACAUUCAACAUUCCUUUGUAAAAUAAGUGGUGGCAUUAUCUUGUUUAAUGUUCAUGUGUUGUAUAUUGUUUA